AUAACUCUGUUUUGUUAUGAUGAAAGUGUCUCAAUAUUUUCGUAUUUUUCUAUGGCGGACAAAGUGAAAGUAGGUCACGUACAACGGCGAAUUUCGCAGCCAAUACUGUACGGACUGCUUUUUAAUAAAGCGAAUGGAUUGCCUGCCCUUGAUUUCAAACGGAGAUAACAAAGCCUCGCUUUCGAAUUCCACCACAUGCUUUUUUGAUAUGGCCGGAUCAACAUAAGAAAACUCUCAGAUUGAAUGUUUCAUGGAUUAUCUGGAUUAUAAAAGUUCAGGAGCAGAAGAAGAUGAAAUUUCAACAGAAUCGGAUCAGACGCAGAGGACAUGAAGUUGAAAAUACGUGUACC